AAGCGCUGAAAGCAUCUAAGCGCCAAGCUCAUCCGAAGAUGACAUUUCCCCAUUAGGGACGUGGUAGAUAAUCACGUUGAUAGGUCGCAAGUGGAAGCACGGUAACGUGUUUAGCUAAGCGAUACUAAUUUCCCAAUUGGCUUGAUCUC
rnacentral:rRNA from 1 species